AGAGAGAGACAUGCGCGCAUAUCAAUAAGCGGAGGAAAAGAAACUAACAAGGAUUCCCCUAGUAACGGCGAGUGAAGCGGGAAGAGCUCAAAUUUGAAAUCUUAAAGGGUUUCCCUUUACGAAUUGUAGUUUAAAGAAGUGUUUUCUGUUGAGGUUUUGGUAAAAGUUCUUUGGAAUAGGACAUCAUAGAGGGCGAGAAUCCCGUAUUUGACCUUUACUUUCAACUUUGUGAUACACUUUCAAAGAGUCGGAUUGUUUGGGAAUGCAGUCCAAAAUGGGUGGUAAAUUUCAUCUAAAGCUAAAUAUUGGCGAGAGACCGAUAGCGAACAAGUACCGUGAGGGAAAGAUGAAAAGAACUUUGAAAAGAGAGUUAAAGAGUACGUGAAAUUGUCAAAAGGGAAGCGUUUGACACCAGUGUUGUUUUUCUGAAAAUCAAUUAAAGAACUGUUUAUGCUAAGUUGUUUAGACUUUAUCAGCUAACUGUUUAGUUUUGAGCUUUUCUUUAAUGCACUUUUCAGUUAACAAGUCAACAUCAAUUUCUUUUGCUGUAAAAAAGCUUGAGGAAGGUGGCUUGAGAUUCGUCUUAAGUGUUUAUAGCCUCUUGCCUAUGCAGUCGGAGAGAUUGAGGUCUGCAGCGUAGAUCCUUCGGGGCUAAAUGCAUUUGUGCUAAGUUAUAGCAUUUUAUAGACAACUUGUUGACUAUGAUUUGUCUUGUAGCUUACUCGCUUAUGUUAUUUUACCUACGCUUAGGAUGUUGACGCAUGAGAUAUACGC
rnacentral:rRNA from 1 species